AAUAGAUACCCUGGUAGUCCACGCCGUAAACGAUGUCGACUUGGAGGUUGUUCCCUUGAGGAGUGGCUUCCGGAGCUAACGCGUUAAGUCGACCGCCUGGGGAGUACGGCCGCAAGGUUAAAACUCAAAUGAAUUGACGGGGGCCCGCACAAGCGGUGGAGCAUGUGGUUUAAUUCGAUGCAACGCGAAGAACCUUACCUACUCUUGACAUCCAGAGAACUUAGCAGAGAUGCUUUGGUGCCUUCGGGAACUCUGAGACAGGUGCUGCAUGGCUGUCGUCAGCUCGUGUUGUGAAAUGUUGGGUUAAGUCCCGCAACGAGCGCAACCCUUAUCCUUUGUUGCCAGCGGUUAGGCCGGGAACUCAAAGGAGACUGCCAGUGAUAAACUGGAGGAAGGUGGGGAUGACGUCAAGUCAUCAUGGCUCUUACGAGUAGGGCUACACACGUGCUACAAUGGCGCAUACAAAGAGAAGCGACCUCGCGAGAGCAAGCGGACCUCAUAAAGUGCGUCGUAGUCCGGAUUGGAGU
rnacentral:rRNA from 1 species